UGUUUCAAAACAACAGAACAAACAACCAGACUUGCUAGGAAGCUCUGUUGUGUAACAGUUAAUCUUUCCACCUCCUGCUGCUCCCUCUCCCUCUCCCUCUCCCUCCUUUCAUCUUGGCUUCCCCCCACACUAAGGUAUUUUGUUCUUCAGAAAGCAAAGAACAAGGUACAUAACUCAUAACCAAGUACUAGUAUCAACAGGGAGCUGGUCGUGGUGAGGCAGAUCUUUAAAAUCCCAGCAUUAGGAGGAGGAGGAGCAAGGCAGGAAGAUCUCUGCCAGUUUGAGGGUUCCAAAACAGAACGAAGACAAACCCUGUCUAGUCAGCCUGGACCUUCUCACAGUCCCAAGUCCAAUUUUAUCACACCCAACUGCAAAGAUCAAAGAUUGCUCCUAGGAGUGGAAGAACGGAGGUGUACACAAAUUGAACACAACUAAAAAAGCCUUUUUUUUUUCUUCCACCCAGAGAGCUUUAUGUAUCAGAGACUUAAAGACAUGGCAGACCCAGACAUUAGUAUAACUUGAGCCUAGCCUGGAGGUAUAGCAAGACCUUGUCACAAACUGCAACAGAGUAUACUAUAGGAAACAAAACAGGAUUAUAACACAACAGGUUAUCCACAAUGAAACAAUUAGGUAGGGCAGGGACAGAUAGAGCCACAGGGUGACAAACAGAAGCAAGUAAGUAGGCAAGAAUUUAGGAUGCAGUCCUAAAGGGCCGGAAGUAUGAGGCUUGGCCACCCGGCCAUGUCCAGCCAUAGCUCACAGUCCCCGAGGACACGUCGGACCUGAGAUCAUCCUAAAGCCACUGUGAUCCCUACAGCUCUGCGAUUGGACUCAAAUUCUUGACCCUCCUGGCUCAGCCUCCAGAGCACUGAAGUUUCAGGUGAGCACUACAUUCAAGUAGAUAUUGGAUAAUUUGGUUGGCUUUGGUGUUUGAUUCAAUAGAAUUGAGAACCUUGAAUGUGUUAAGCAAAUGGUUUACUACUGAGCUGUACCUAAACCCACUGACAGGAUAUGUAUGUGUGUUUGUGCAUGUGUGUAUGGACAUGCUCAUGUUUAUACAGGUGUCUGUGUGUGCAUAUGGAGGUCAGAGGACUACCUUGUAUAUCAUUCCCCAGGUACUGACGCCUUCAUUUGUUUGUUUGAGAAAAGUCUUCUACUAGGCUUUAACCCAGCAAGUUGGCCUUCCCAGAUCCAGAGACCAGGCACCCUCCUUGACUUCCCCAGCACUGGAACUAUGAAUGGAAACCACUACCACGCCUGAUCCUUCAUGGUUUCAAGGUAGGCACUUUACUGACUGAUCUAUUCCCAGCUCCUUAAACACUCAAAUAUGUAAAGUGCUGGAAAACAGAAACAAGAAAAUGUUAUGAAUUUAUGCAAAAGUUCAGUUGGAGUGAAAACUGAACAUCACAAUGUGGGAUUGGUAUAUAAAAAAAAAAAAGACUGUGUGUUAGCUGAGAGUACUCCACUUUCCUCUCACCCACAUUUCCCCCUUAAAUGUUGGGUCCCAGCAAGAGUUUGGAAAUAUCGUAGCCAUGGAAUCAUUCUGGAGACAGACAAGAUGGCAAAGCUUAUCUUCCAUAACAGACUAGCUGGGGCAAAUCUUGCUGAUGUACCUAUGCUGUAAGUGGGUGACGCACACUUGAGUACGUUGCUUGACUAGCUGCAGUCUUGUUCAAGUGUUUAUCUCUCACCUUAGCACAGGAUGUUGGCAUGGCUUAUUACUGGAUGAGGCUGGAAGGCAGAUAUUGUACAGAAGUCACUACCCUCAUAAUUUUCAUGUCGUCUCUAGGGUGUAUUUUCACUUCUAAAUGAUUUGAACUUUGGGUUCCUGAGGUUGGCUGUCUCCAUUGGACGUUGUGCAGUAUAUGCUAGAAUCCUGAAGCAGGCUGUGAUGCCAGUGAAGGGAUGGACUUGCUAGCAGCACAAGCACAAGAGUAAGCACAUGAAGAGCAGUUUCCUUCCUCCAUGUUCUUCCUUAUAUAGCCUCCCAUCAGCAGGCACAGGCCAGAUUAGAGCUGGAUCGAAGGUGAAUAUUCCCAACUCAAGAUUGAGAUUAAAGAUGUGUCUUCCUACCUCAAAGAUUCAGAUUAAAAGUAGAUCUUUCCAUUUCAAAUGAAGCAAAAGUCCCUCAGUUAUGCCCUCUAUUUGAGUUGUUUGUUUUUUUUUUUAAUUCCAAUCAUAGUCAAGUUGAUAACCAAGAAUAGCCAUUCCAUGGUGUUUAAGCAGAGAAGGAGUGUGAACCAACUUUACAGGCUUGGUUGGAGUUGGAAUGAAUGUAGCCAUCACCAUGACAAAUGGCGGCAGACAAAAGUGUAUCUGCUGCUGCACUGUCAAUAUAGAUCUGGAAAGAGCAUGACUCAGAAAUUAGAGCAGAGAAAAAAAAACAAUGCGAAAAAAAAAAAAAAAAAAAAGGCAGUGCUGGAGAAGUGAGAUCUGUGAGAUGCAGAUACUCAAGCAAUGGAGUAAAUGGAGAACGUGGGAAAUGAAGGCUAGGAACAAGUCUGAAAGAAGUAGUCGCAUCCCCUCCACACACACACCAUUUUUUCCCCUUCAUCCCUUGCUACUCACGCACCAACUCAUCUCCAUUCUUAGCUGCUUUUGGAACAUGUGGUCCCCAAAGCUUUUCAAGUCGUUUUUGGCCGAUGCCCCAGCUUCAUACCGAACCACACACAAAAGAAAAGUACUCGAUCUCUUUAUUCUCAAAACAUUGUGAUACUAAAUAAAAUCCAAGAGGUAUUGGGUUGAUCUUUGGUCCUUAGGGCUUUAGACUGAGCCCAGAACAUGUCUGUCAUCUCCAAGAUGUAGAAGGUACUGUUUGAAGGCAUAUAUCUCAAGUGUGGGAGGAAUGGGCUCCAGCUCUUCCAGAGGAAUGAAAGUUAAUUUGAGAAGGCAA